rnacentral:rRNA from 1 species
AUUGAACGCUGGCGGCAGGCCUAACACAUGCAAGUCGAGCGGAUGAGUGGAGCUUGCUCCAUGAAUCAGCGGCGGACGGGUGAGUAAUGCCUAGGAAUCUGCCUGGUAGUGGGGGACAACGUUUCGAAAGGAACGCUAAUACCGCAUACGUCCUACGGGAGAAAGUGGGGGAUCUUCGGACCUCACGCUAUCAGAUGAGCCUAGGUCGGAUUAGCUAGUUGGUGAGGUAAAGGCUCACCAAGGCGACGAUCCGUAACUGGUCUGAGAGGAUGAUCAGUCACACUGGAACUGAGACACGGUCCAGACUCCUGCGGGAGGCAGCAGUGGGGAAUAUUGGACAAUGGGCGAAAGCCUGAUCCAGCCAUGCCGCGUGUGUGAAGAAGGUCUUCGGAUUGUAAAGCACUUUAAGUUGGGGGGAAGGGCAGUAAGUUAAUACCUUGCUGUUUUGACGUUACCAACAGAAUAAGCACCGGCUAACUUCGUGCCAGCCGCCGCGUAACAC